rnacentral:tRNA from 1 species
AGCCUUAUAUUCAUAAAAUGAUUAUAGAAUGCAAUUCUGUAGGAGUAGUUUAUUGCUACUAAGGCUU